UGAGUGAUUAUUUUUUUUCUCAUUACUUCUUGUAAAAAUUUUGUACUCCGGUAAUAAAGCUUUCACAAAAGUUAACAGUUAUAUGGCUGUCAGUUUUUUUUCGGAAAUUCUAUUUUAUUUCAUUUUAUAAUUUAUUUGAGACGUAAUUAGAAACAAAAUUUCUAGAAGUCAAUUUAAGUACUGUCCAGCCUUAAAAAAUAUUGAUGAUCCUUGUCUUCUGAUGGUCUUGCAGAUAAAUGGGAACUAGUUAAAAUUUAUUCUAUAUCAUUCAUUAAUAUCAAAUGUUUUUAUAAAAUUAUUAUUUUGGAAAAACAAUUAGAAUAAAAAAAGAUCAAUUUUUAAAAACCACCGAUAUUUAACGUGCAUAACUAGUUGACAAAUUUUAAUAUAUAAUAAAAUUAAAAUUUAAUUAAUCAACUUAUUUAUUAUAAAUUUUUC
rnacentral:misc_RNA from 1 species